rnacentral:lncRNA from 1 species
GCUAAUUUGGGUGUUGCCCAAAAAGUAGUGAUGCUCGACAUGAUAUUCCUAUUUAAAAGUUUUUGAUCUUUUUAAACAACCAAAUGUUCUAGUCGAACCUUUCUUACGUGUAACUUCGUCUUCAAUUCGUGCAGUAAGUUCUCCUACAUCACUUAAAAAGACUUAUUUUAUACACUUCAAUCAUGUAAAUAUAUUAGCCAAAUCUCCUUUAAAGAACAAUUUGUUUUGGCCUUUCACUUUCUAUGUCACUUAUGUUUCACACUAGGAACAUACCAUUUAGAGCGAAAAAGUCUUUCAUAAUCACAAACGCAGCAUCUCCUCAGGGUUGGACCUUGGUUUGUGCAAGGAGCUCAAUAGAACUGGGUCUCCCCAAUGUAUCGACCUCAAAAAAAAAUUAGGCCUAUUAGAAUUGGGUCCUCUUGCUUUUGGUGUUAGGUGGAUGUUUUUUUUAAGAGGGUUUGAGGUUCCUCAUGUAUACG